UACGUAGGCAGCAAGCGUUGUUCGGAGUUACUGGGCGUAAAGGGUGUGUAGGCGGCUUUUUAAGUUUGGUGUGAAAUCUCCCGGCUCAACCGGGAGGGUGCGCCGAAUACUGAGAGGCUAGAGUGCGGGAGAGGAAAGUGGAAUUCCUGGUGUAGCGGUGAAAUGCGUAGAUAUCAGGAGGAACACCGGUGGUGUAGACGGCUUUCUGGACCGUAACUGACGCUGAAACACGAAAGCGUGGGUAGCAAACAGG
rnacentral:ncRNA from 2 species